UUAUUUGUCCUCUUCCCUCCUGCUCCCCCCCCCCCCUUUUCCCUCCUCUCCCUCCUCCUCCUUCUUUUCCAGUUUAGCAGCACAAAUUUCUGUUUGUGCCAGUGGGGCGGCCUGGCGAGACCACAAUUGCUCUACCCCACAGAUUGACGAGCCCUCAGAUGCCGAUUUACUGUACAUGGCAGCCACGCUGGAGCCGAGGCACAUCUGGAGUGGAUGUCCUGGAGACUCAAAUCCCAGUAGAAGAGGGCCAAAAUUCCUCAUGAACCACUUUGGCAAGGCAGGUGUAAGAAUCCUUCUCAUCUGGUGAAGCACUGGGCAUUACUUCCCUAGGACUGUCUAAAACCACCAGAGAUGCAGCUCAGUAAGAAGAGGACUGACUGUGUGGCAUAGGUGUUUGGCAGCCCAGAAAGACUGAACGAUGCUCCUCCAAGUUCUGCAAUAACCUUUCUGUGCCUAAAACCAGACACAGGAUCGUGGCUCCAGAAAUACAUCCAGGGAUGGUACAUGUUUUGUUGUAGGACUUUUGCAAUCUAAGUGAUUACCAGAUAGAUAAAAUGGCUUGUUUUGGAUGAGAAGAUCAUUUUAGAAAAAAAAACAACCUCAUACUCCUGCACAGAAAAGCUGAUGGAACCAGUCUCAAAAGUAAAGAUGUUUGGCAAACUUCACAGAGGCCUUGGCAGCUCACUGAAAUCUAAACUUUUCAUGGGGACGGUUGGAUUUCAACUAAGUUGUGCUGGAGCCCUGCAGGGCUCCAGAGGACUCCUGCCUGGCAGGCAGACCAUUGCUCAACUCCCGGCCUGCUGGGGUAGAGGAUUGAUGGCCUGUCAUUGCAGGAUGGCCCACCAAGUAGACUACCUUUGAACUAGAGACCUCAGGGCUUCCAGGUUUCAAAACUGGGACAACAGUUAUUUUGAAACUUUGUUGAUAUGUUUUGAUAUUCAUUGGAAAUAUUUUGAUUUCAAUGAAUUAGCAAAUCCUGACCCCAGAAAAUGUUCCAUAGGAGUUUUUUGAACAGCUCUAUUCCAGACUAAGUUUAAUGACCCUGAAGGGGGAAAAAAAAAGGCUUCCUCCACAAACAAAAUAGAAAUAAAACAAAAUCCAUUGAAUGACUCUGAAGCAGGGUGUCUCUGACCCUAUUUAUUGGACAUCCCUGGUUGUAAUCAGUCUGGUGUCCUUGGACCUCCAAUAAACCAGUCUGGGUUCCGUCACACAGUUCUAACCUUAAUUUUAAACAUGAUAUCCUGAUAGUAAUUGUUUAACUUGUUAUUUUUUUUCCUUUCCAUUUAGUGCACAUUUGAAAUUGAUUCAAGUCCUUGUUUUGCACUAAUGCCAAAAGUGUCCAUGAUGUCUAGAAAUGAAAUCUUCUUGGUAGAUGACUAUGCAUCCUGCUGGUUAUGCUAUUGUGAUUAUAUUAAUAGCACAUUCUGCAACUUGAUGUUGCAGGUGCAAAACUCUCCUUCAGCAGUACAUAACUCUUUCAUCUGCCAUUUCUUGCCAGUAGAUUUCCUGCCCAUAUGAACAUUUCUUGUGAAAUUUCUGGAGAAUAGCUGCUGGGGUUUUGCCAGUUGUAAAACAAACAAACAAACAGACAAACAACCCCCUUCCAAAGCUCAACAACCUCCCCCCUCCCCAAUCCUCCCUCUUAGAAACCUCUGCUCUUCAUAGUAGAUAUUCUACAUGUAAUAAAAAAAGACUGGUCAUGAAGAAAUAAACAUUGUGGAUUAAUGUAGCAAAGGUAAAAUUAAAAAAUUACUGCAGUUGCAUGGUGCCAAUAAAGUUGCCAGAGCCUG